rnacentral:lncRNA from 1 species
CAGACAUGCUCAGCAGAGCAAGGUCGGCCAGUCUGCUCCUCCGCCUCCACUCACCCCAAAAGGCUUCCACAACCCCACGCAGCACAAGACCCGGGGACACCCCACCCAACGGCACCAGCUCGCACCCCGCACCCCAAUCUCCGCCCGCCUCCACGGGGGCACCAGCUGAGCGGGCCCCGCCCCCCAGCCUGUCCCUCCGGUGUUGGGGGAGCAGGCGGGUUCUCCCCCAAACCACGGAGCGGCUCAGGUAACCGGAGGGAGAGGAGGAGGGGCCGGUCCGGUGGGCAUCUGAUCUCUCCCCAAACAGGUUUGAAAGUCUUUUUGUUUGGCUUGGUUUUGAAGAGAAAAGAGAAAGGAGCUCCCGGAGGCAGGUCUGCCUCGCUCGAGGCCGGGGACACGCGCGGAGGGCGCCCCAAGCCUCGAGGCUGCACGCGAGGGCUGGGCGCAGACGGGGCUCCCCGCCCUGCACGCGGCGGCGGCGGCGGGCUGGGGCGCCCAGGGAAGCCCUGCGCCCUGGGGAUCCGCCCGCGCCGGCGACCUCGGGGUCCGGGGCUCAGGGGGCGCGGGGCGACGGCCGCGGCCAUGGCGAGUCACG